CCAAAAGCUGGCGACCGGCGCACGGGUGAGUGACACGUAUCCAACCUGCCUCAUACUCGGGGAUAGCCUUUCGAAAGAAAGAUUAAUAUCCGAUAGCAUAUAUUUCCCGCAUGGGUUUUAUAUUAAAGAAAUUCGGUAUGAGAUGGGGAUGCGUUCCAUUAGUUUGUUGGGGGGGUAACGGCCCACCAAGACUACGAUGGAUAGGGGUUCUGAGAGGAAGGUCCCCCACAUUGGAACUGAGACGCGGUCCAA
rnacentral:rRNA from 1 species